rnacentral:rRNA from 1 species
UUCCUUAGUUACGGCGAGUGAGCGGUAAAAGCUCAAAUUUGAAAUCUGGUACUUUCAGUGCCCGAGUUGUAAUUUGUAGAAUUUGUCUUUGAUUAGGUCCUUGUCUAUGUUCCUUGGAACAGGACGUCAUAGAGGGUGAGAAUCCCGUUUGGCGAGGAUACCUUUUCUCUGUAAGACUUUUUCGAAGAGUCGAGUUGUUUGGGAAUGCAGCUCAAAGUGGGUGGUAAAUUCCAUCUAAAGCUAAAUAUUGGCGAGAGACCGAUAGCGAACAAGUACAGUGAUGGAAAGAUGAAAAGAACUUUGAAAAGAGAGUGAAAAAGUACGUGAAAUUGUUGAAAGGGAAGGGCAUUUGAUCAGACAUGGUGUUUUUUGCAUGCACUCGCCUCUCGUGGGCUUGGGCCUCUCAAAAAUUUCACUGGGCCAACAUCAAUUCUGGCAGCAGGAUAAAUCAUUAAGAAUGUAGCUACUUCGGUAGUGUUAUAGCUUUUUGGAAUACUGUUAGCCGGGAUUGAGGACUGCGCUUCGGCAAGGAUGUUGGCAUAAUGGUUAAAUGCCGCCCGUCUUGAA